GAUGAACGCUGGCGGCGUGCCUAAUACAUGCAAGUCGAGCGAACAGACGAGGAGCUUGCUCCUCUGACGUUAGCGGCGGACGGGUGAGUAACACGUGGAUAACCUACCUAUAAGACUGGGAUAACUUCGGGAAACCGGAGCUAAUACCGGAUAAUAUAUUGAACCGCAUGGUUCAAUAGUGAAAGACGGAUUUGCUGUCACUUAUAGAUGGAUCCGCGCCGCAUUAGCUAGUUGGUAAGGUAACGGCCUACCAAGGCAACGAUGCGUAGCCGACCUGAGAGGGUGGUCGGCCACACGGGAACUGAGACACGGUCCAGACUCCUACGGGAGGCAGCAGUAGGGAAUCUUCCGCAAUGGGCGAAAGCAUGACAGAGCAACGCCGCGUGAGUGAUGAAGGUCUUCGGAUCGUAAAACUCUGUUAUUAGGGAAGAACAAAUGUGUAAGUAACUGUGCACGUCGUGACGGUACCUAAUCAGAAAGCCACGGCUAACUACGUG
rnacentral:rRNA from 1 species